AAAUUGGGUUUGAGGUUAUUCUUCAAUUAUAUCUACUUUUAGCUUUUCCUUAUUGAACACAACAGAUUAAAAAGGAAAAAAGAUGACGACUCAAAGAUGUUUUCUAAUUUUGGUGAAUAUGAAAAUCAGGUAUGCCACUUCUUUUGCACUUCGAUUUUUCGUGUUGUUCCCUUACAUUACAUACAUUACUCAUGCUAUUUUUCAAUUCAGAGUGUGAAAAGUAGAAAUAAUAAUCAAGGUUUAACCUUCUGCUUAAAUGGCUGUUGUAGAAAAUAUAUCUACAAUGUCAACCAGCCAAUGUUCCUCUCUUCAAGUUCGAGCCGAAAGAGGUUGCGCUACUCAUCCACGAAGCUUUGCGGAUAAAGGUAACUUUUCUUUCUCAUAUUUAAGUUCACUUGGUUAGUCCUUUGAACAAUAUUCAACUUUUUGUUGGCUAAUUUGUAGACAAACCGCACAAGGAUUAGUGAAACAAUGAAAUAAGGCAUGUUCAAUUUCGGUUGAUAUCUAGGGUGGUAAGCUCUUGAAAUGGUGAAUCAAGUAACAUUUUAGAAAUAAGGUAAAGAUUAAAUUUGAUGUUCCUAAUUUAAUGUUCAUCUUAGGAGAUGACAGAAAUUUUAUUUGAGUGAAAACCAAAAGAGUGAUAUAGUUCUUGUUAGAAUAUUUGUGCAAAAUGAGCAUAUCAAAUUAAAAGACUUUUCAAGGAAGUUAGGAUUGUUUGAAUUGCUCUUUUAGCUAUUCAUUAGUUCUUUUGGCCAACAAAUAGCUUCCUAAAGGAGAGCGCUUAGGGAGAAAAUUGAAAAUCUUGAUUCAUUUCUCAAAGUUCCCGUGAAGAAACUAUUGGUUUGAUGGAUCGACAAGGUCAAG
rnacentral:lncRNA from 1 species